GGCGAACGGCGAAAGGGGCACGGUGCAGCGUGUGCUGAGACGUUCGUGAGCGCUGUGUUCGCGCCGUUUCGUCCACGUGGAAGCGACAGAGAACACGAAGUGCCACCAGGGAUCAGAGAUAUACAACGGUGCAGCCCCUCCUGUCGUGUCUGGCCGGUUCACACAAGCUACAUAGCCUUCACCGUGCUACACCGAGUUGGUGCAAGAUUGUAUCGCCGCCAAUCAGCUAAGAGGAAUCGGCGACUACUGGAUCGAACGACGGCCCCAGGAUCAAUCGGCGAUGUGCGAAAGUUGCCCCUGAUACAAGGAUGCGUCAUUCAUUGAAGUAACUGCUGUCUCUGGGUUCUACCGAAGCGUGGCGCCUGGGAUCGUCCGUUCAAGGAUAAAAGACGCCGCCUUAGCAUAAGCACUUCGCUGUCGGCGGCGAACUCUUGCUGGACACUUACCAGAACUGCUUUCUUUUAAACAGUCGGCGGCAAUUCUUUGCCGCAGCCUGAGGUUUGCCCAUGCCAAGGCACCACAAGGAAAUGCGGACAAGGCGCAUGCGUCGUCCAGCCCGGCUCGAACAGUGAUCGUCUGUCUGCAUCUAAUAUCGAUAAACGCAAGGCUUGCACAAGGCGGCAUCGAGCCUGCACAAACUAGACAACCUCCCGAUCGGCUAGUCAGGGCACCAGAGGGCUGCUGUUAGCCUCAGCGCUGCCUUUAAAGGACCGGACUGACCCAACCUUCUGUAAUCGGCGGCAAUUCUUUGACACAGCCUGACGAUUGUCUCUGCCCAGGAGGCCCUCAUAUAACUUCGUGCCCUGGGUCCUCAUCCUGCAUGUACCAGUACGAAUAUACGCCCCUGAGUUACCUGAAUAAACCACCCGGCGCGGUAUCCCCGUGGCUAAGGCAUGGCGCUGCUGAGCUUCAGGUCGCGGGCUCGGUUCCGCCGCAGUCACAUUCCGAUCGGGAUGAAACACAAGAACUCUCCUGCGCCGGCAAUUGGAUGGACGCUAUGAAAAAACCUAAGGGGUCAAAAGCAAUCCUGAACCCCUCCGCCCUA